GACGAACGCUGGCGGCGUGCUUAACACAUGCAAGUCGAACGGAAAGGCCUGCUUUCCCUUGUGGAUUGCGGGUACUCGAGUGGCGAACGGGUGAGUAACACGUGAGUGAUCUGCCCCCAACUUGGGUAUAAGCCUGGGAAACUGGGUCUAAUUCCCGAUAGGACUGCAGGGGGGUGCCUGUGGUGGAAAACGAUUUUCUAGUGGUUGGGGAUGAGCUCGCGGCCUAUCAGCUUGUUGGUGGGGUAAUGGCCUACCAAGGCGGCGACGGGUAGCCGGCCUGGGAGGGUGGACGGCCACAUUGGGACUGAGAUACGGCCCAGACUCCUACGGGAGGCAGCAGUGGGGAAUAUUGCACAAUGGGCGGAAGCCUGAUGCAGCGACGCCGCGUGGGGGAUGACGGCCUUCGGGUUGUAAACUCCUUUCGACCGCGAGGAAGCCACCUGGUUGGAAGGGUGGUGACGGUAGUGGUAGAAGAAGCACCGGCUAACUACGUG
rnacentral:rRNA from 1 species